CGCGGCCUAUCAGCUUGUUGGUGAGGUAAUGGCUUACCAAGGCGAUGACGGGUAGCCGGCCUGAGAGGGUGACCGGCCACACUGGGACUGAGACACGGCCCAGACUCCUACGGGAGGCAGCAGUGGGGAAUAUUGCACAAUGGGCGCAAGCCUGACGCAGCGACGCCGCGUGAGGGAUGACGGCCUUCGGGUUGUAAACCUCUUUCAGUAGGGAAGAAGCGAAAGUGAUGGUACCUGCAGAAGAAGCGCCGGCUAACUACGUGCCAGCAGCCGCGGUAAUACGUAGGGCGCAAGCGUUAUCCGGAAUUAUUGGGCGUAAAGAGCUCGUAGGCGGUUUGUCGCGUCUGCCGUGAAAGUCCGGGGCUCAACUCCGGAUCUGCGGUGGGUACGGGCAGACUAGAGUGAUGUAGGGGAGACUGGAAUUCCUGGUGUAGCGGUGAAAUGCGCAGAUAUCAGGAGGAACACCGAUGGCGAAGGCAGGUCUCUGGGCAUUAACUGACGCUGAGGAGCGAAAGCAUGGGGAGCGAACAGGAUUAGAUACCCUGGUAGUCCAUGCCGUAAACGUUGGGCACUAGGUGUGGGGGACAUUCCACGUUUUCCGCGCCGUAGCUAACGCAUUAAGUGCCCCGCCUGGGGAGUACGG
rnacentral:rRNA from 1 species